rnacentral:rRNA from 1 species
AUUGAACGCUGGCGGCAUGCCUUACACAUGCAAGUCGAACGGCAGCACGGGAGCAAUCCUGGUGGCGAGUGGCGAACGGGUGAGUAAUAUAUCGGAACGUGCCCAGUCGUGGGGGAUAACGUAGAGAAAUUUACGCUAAUACCGCAUACGAUCUAAGGAUGAAAGCGGGGGAUCGCAAGACCUCGCGCGAUUGGAGCGGCUGAUAUCAGAUUAGGUUGUUGGUGAGGUAAAAGCUCACCAAGCCGACGAUCUGUAGCUGGUUUGAGAGAACGACCAGCCACACUGGGACUGAGACACGGCCCAGACUCCUACGGGAGGCAGCAGUGGGGAAUUUUGGACAAUGGGCGAAAGCCUGAUCCAGCAAUGCCGCGUGCAGGAAGAAGGCCUUCGGGUUGUAAACUGCUUUUGUACGGAACGAAAAGGUCUGCCCUAAUACGGUGGGCUCAUGACGGUACCGUAAGAAUAAGCACCGGCUAACUACGUGCCAGCAGCCGCGGUAAUACGUAGGGUGCGAGCGUUAAUCGGAAUUACUGGGCGUAAAGCGUGCGCAGGCGGUUAUAUAAGACAGUUGUGAAAUCCCCGGGCUCAACCUGGGAAUUGCAUCUGUGACUGUAUAGCUAGAGUACGGUAGAGGGGGAUGGAAUUCCGCGUGUAGCAGUGAAAUGCGUAGAUAUGCGGAGGAACACCGAUGGCGAAGGCAAUCCCCUGGACC